ensembl:miRNA microRNA 200b
UUGGAUGGCCAUUGACAUCUUACUAGGCAGCAUUGGAUGUGAUCUCCCUUUCUAAUACUGCCUGGUAAUGAUGAUGAUGGCUCUCU